rnacentral:rRNA from 1 species
GUCGAGCGAACAGACGAGGAGCUUGCUCCUCUGACGUUAGCGGCGGACGGGUGAGUAACACGUGGAUAACCUACCUAUAAGACUGGGAUAACUUCGGGAAACCGGAGCUAAUACCGGAUAAUAUAUUGAACCGCAUGGUUCAAUAGUGAAAGACGGUUUUGCUGUCACUUAUAGAUGGAUCCGCGCCGCAUUAGCUAGUUGGUAAGGUAACGGCUUACCAAGGCGACGAUGCGUAGCCGACCUGAGAGGGUGAUCGGCCACACUGGAACUGAGACACGGUCCAGACUCCUACGGGAGGCAGCAGUAGGGAAUCUUCCGCAAUGGGCGAAAGCCUGACGGAGCAACGCCGCGUGAGUGAUGAAGGUCUUCGGAUCGUAAAACUCUGUUAUUAGGGAAGAACAAAUGUGUAAGUAACUAUGCACGUCUUGACGGUACCUAAUCAGAAAGCCACGGCUAACUACGUGCCAGCAGCCGCGGUAAUACGUAGGUGGCAAGCGUUAUCCGGAAUUAUUGGGCGUAAAGCGCGCGUAGGCGGUUUUUUAAGUCUGAUGUGAAAGCCCACGGCUCAACCGUGGAGGGUCAUUGGAAACUGGAAAACUUGAGUGCAGAAGAGGAAAGUGGAAUUCCAUGUGUAGCGGUGAAAUGCGCAGAGAUAUGGAGGAACACCAGUGGCGAAGGCGACUUUCUGGUCUGUAACU